rnacentral:misc_RNA from 1 species
GCAAACUUGGUCAUUUAGAGGAAGUAAAAGUCGUAACAAGGUUUCCGUAGGUGAACCUGCGGAAGGAUCAUUAUUGAAAAAAUAUUGGCGGCCAAAGUUCCUCUUUUUUUUGAAGGGGCUCUCUGGUUUGCCGCAUAUUAUUCGUGAACUUGUUUUUUUGAGACUUUGCUUGGUGGAGGUACGAAAAAACUGUGCCGUCACCGCAAGUCUAUUUUAUCAUAUUCUUUUUAUCAAGAGUCUGAAAUUUUUUACAUAACAAAAUCUAAAACUUUCAACAACGGAUCUCUUGGUUCUCGCAUCGAUGAAGAACGCAGC